rnacentral:rRNA from 1 species
AAGUGAAGAGUUUGAUCCUGGCUCAGCGCGAACGCUGGCGGCAUGGCUAAAACAUGCAAGUCGAACGAGAACCCCGCAAGGGGGGACAGUGGCGAAAGGGUGAGUAAUGCGUUUCUAUGUACCCCGAGGUCGAGGAUAGCCAGGGGAAACUCUGAUUAAUACUCGAUGUGGUCCGCAAGGAUCAAAGGCUUGCUGCCUUGGGAGCAGGGAACGUCCUAUCAGGUUGUUGGUGAGGUAACGGCUCACCAAGCCGAAGACGGGUAGCGGGUGUGAGAGCACGACCCGCCACAUCGGGACUGAGACACUGCCCGGACUCCUACGGGAGGCUGCAGUAACGAAUCUUCCGCAAUGCGCGAAAGCGUGACGGAGCAAUGCCGCGUGCAGGAUGAAGCCCUUCGGGGUGUAAACUGCUGUCAGGGUUCAGCAACACAAUGAGCAGAUCCAAAGGAAGAGCCGACUAACUCUGUGCCAGCAGUCGCGGUAAUACAGAGGGCUCGAGCGUUGCGCGGAGUCACUGGGCUUAAAGCGUACGUAGGCGGGCGUGCAGGCAUCGUGUGAAAUCCCCCGACUCAACCGGGGAACUGCUCGGUGAACCGCACGUCUUGAGGUCAGUAGGGGCGGUCGGAACGAUAGGUGGAGCGGUGAAAUGCGUAGAUAUCUAUCGGAACGCCGAAGGUGAAGACAGGCCGCUGGGCUGAUUCUGACGCUGAGGUACGAAAGCGUGGGGAGCAAACGGGAUUAGAUACCCCGGUAGUCCACGCCCUAAACGAUGUGCAUUAGGUCGUGGGGGUUCUGACACCUCCUCGAUCGAAGCGAAAGUAAUUAAUGCACCGCCUGGGGAGUACGGUCGCAAGGCUAAAACUCAAAGGAAUUGACGGGGGCUCACACAAGCGGUGGAGCAUGUGGCUUAAUUCGAAGCAACGCGAAGAACCUUAUCCUGGGCUUGACAUGCACGGAUUAACCCGGUGAAAGCCGGGCCACGCCUUCGGGUGGAACGUGCACAGGUGCUGCAUGGCUGUCGUCAGCUCGUGCUGUGAAGUGUCGGGUUAAGUCCCUUAACGAGCGCAACCCCUGUCGUCAGUUGCUAACGGGUAAUGCCGAGGACUCUGGCGAGACUGCCGGUGUCAAACCGGAGGAAGGUGGGGAUGACGUCAAGUCCGCAUGGCCUUUAUGCCCAGGGCUGCACACGUGCUACAAUGGCGCGCACAGAACGACGCAAUACCGCAAGGUGGAGCAAAUCGCUCAAAUCGCGCCCCAGUUCGGAUUGUGGGCUGCAACCCGCCCACAUGAAGUUGGAAUCGCUAGUAAUCGCGGAUCAGCUACGCCGCGGUGAAUACGUUCCUGAGCCUUGUACACACCGCCCGUCAAGUCAUGGAAGCCGGUAGCGCCCGAAGUCGCCGAAAUUCAUCGGUGCCCACGGCGAGACUGGUGACUGGGACUAAGUCGUAACAAGGUAGCCGUAGGGGAACCUGCGGCUGGAUCACCUCCUUUCU